AUGUCAGAAACGUUUCGAGUGUGGCACGUGGUACUGUAUAUGGUCUAUAAAAAGAAGCUGACAUCCGUCUACAAACACCGACUUUGCAGGCUAACAUUAUGUGGUGAAAAAGCAUGUAAGGAAGUAUCAUGCAGGAGGAGGAAACAGAUGGGAGAUCUUACCCGAUAGUAUGGGUGAGAGCAAGUAAUGUGGCUUUCACCAUUCCAAUCAUGUUGGAUCAGUGACUGCUUCAAGGAAGGCAGGAAGAAAGGAAGCAUGUACCAGAUCACUUGCGGUAAGUAACAGUUACAAUUGUUAGACGCUCGCUGCAUAGCUAAUUGCUAGCUUAAAGCUAGAAUCCUUCAUUGAAACAAUAACAAAGUGUGCUCUGUUCCCCUUGUUUUCUCUAAAAAGCUAAGGGACGGGGCUGGAGAAAUGUAACCACUCAAAUGAAUAGACAGAGCUAUGGAUGCAAGGACUGACCAUCCGUGAUACCAAAUGUAUAGUUUUAACCAUAUUUUGAGGCUGUGCAUUGUUCGUUUGCAUUUACGUUGUUUACAAACAUUGGCGUGAAACAAGUUUAUAUAUUGGAUUAUGAUGGAGGUAAGACAGUUGAACUAAGCUCAUAAGGCAUUUACUGAAAAAGUUAUAGUCUUCAAGAAUCAAUGGGUAUAUAUAUCAUUCAUUUAUAAGUCCAAAAGUGGAUGUAGCAACUAAGGAUUCUAGCUUUAAAAGAGGUUAGCAUAGCCAUAAAGUGAGGAAAGGGGUGUUGUUUCUAAGACAUUUAUAUUAAGUAGCACCCCCACCACACCUCAGCCCAACUCAGGAUGCAUGGUACAAAGACAGCUUGCUGGCCCAACGUGGAGGGGGUGUGGGUGGGUGGAGCCAGACAAGGGAUUAUCCUGCUCAGGUCCCUGAUCCUGGGCUAAAUUGGUUAGAACAGAUAUUAGCAGAGAUAACAUGUUGGUUAGAACAACGCAACAACUAGCCUAACACCACAAGUGUAAAGUAGAACUAAAGAGUCUUUAGGGUUAAAUUUGAUAUAUUGGUUGAUAUGACAACUAGACUAACGCCACAAGUGUAAAGUAGGGCUAAAUUUGAUAUAUUGGUUGAUAUGACAACUAGACUAACGCCACAAGUGUAAAGUAAAACUAAAGAGUCUUUAGGACUAAAUUUGAUAUAUUGGUUGAUAUGACAACUAGACUAACGCCACAAGUGUAAAGUAAAACUAAAGAGUCUUUAGGACUAAAUUUGAUAUAUUGGUUGAUAUGACAACUAGACUAACGCCACAAGUGUAAAGUAAAACUAAAGAGUCUUUUGGGCUAAAUUUGAUAUAUUGGUUGAUAUGACAACUAGACUAACGCCACAAGUGUAAAGUAGAACUAAAGAGUCUUUAGGGCUAAAGUUUAUAUAUUAGUUUAUAUGAUGAUACUUUGGUGACAAGUUGUGCUGCUUAAUAGUAUAAUAAUAAUAAUAAUAAUAAUAAUAAUAAUAAUAAUAAUAACAAUGGAAUCAUCUGGGAAAAGAAACUAGAUGCUAUAGUAGUAUGCUGUGUUAUUUAGCAGACUCUUUUCU
rnacentral:lncRNA from 1 species